CCUACGGGGGGCUGCAGUGGGGAAUAUUGGACAAUGGGCGAAAGCCUGAUCCAGCCAUGCCGCGUGUGUGAAGAAGGCCUUCGGGUUGUAAAGCACUUUCAGUGGGGAAGAAAGCCUUGGGGCUAAUACCCUCGAGGAAGGACAUCACCCACAGAAGAAGCACCGGCUAACUCCGUGCCAGCAGCCGCGGUAAUACGGAGGGUGCGAGCGUUAAUCGGAAUUACUGGGCGUAAAGCGCGCGUAGGCGGUCUGAUAAGCCGGUUGUGAAAGCCCCGGGCUCAACCUGGGAACGGCAUCCGGAACUGUCAGGCUAGAGUACAGGAGAGGAAGGUAGAAUUCCUGGUGUAGCGGUGAAAUGCGUAGAGAUCGGGAGGAAUACCAGUGGCGAAGGCGGCCUUCUGGACUGACACUGACGCUGAGGUGCGAAAGCGUGGGUAGCAAACAGGAUUAGAUACCCGAGUAGUC
rnacentral:rRNA from 1 species